rnacentral:rRNA from 1 species
UACGAAGGGGGCUAGCGUUGCUCGGAAUCACUGGGCGUAAAGGAUGCGUAGGCGGGUCUUUAAGUCAGGGGUGAAAUCCUGGAGCUCAACUCCAGAACUGCCUUUGAUACUGAAGAUCUUGAGUCCGGGAGAGGUGAGUGGAACUGCGAGUGUAGAGGUGAAAUUCGUAGAUAUUCGCAAGAACACCAGUGGCGAAGGCGGCUCACUGGCCCGGUACUGACGCUGAGGCACGAAAGCGUGGGGAGCAAACAGG